GCUGGGAUGGCAGAUCGGCUAUGCACCCGCCUGCAGAGCGGGAUAGGAGGGUUCGACUCCCUCUCUCAGCU
rnacentral:tRNA from 1 species